CGAAGGGGCGUAGCGUUGUUCGGAAUCACUGGGCGGUAAAGACGUACGUAGGCGGAUCGUUAAGUCAGGGGUGGAAAUACCCGACGGCUCAAACCUCGGAACUGCCUUUGAUACUGGCGAUCUUGAGUCCGGGAGGAGGUGAGUGGAACUCCUAGUGUAGAGGUGAAAUUCGUAGAUAUUAGGAAGAACACCAGUGGCGAAGGCGGCUCACUGGCCCGGUACUGACGCUGAUGUACGAAAAGCGUGGGGAGCAAACAGGAUU
rnacentral:rRNA from 1 species